UCCCUCUCAGGGUCACAUCUGAAGAGUUUCCAGUACUCUAGCAGUCUUGACUAUGGGAGGGAGAGUCAUGCAGAAGCAUAUCCAUUCCAUUCGUAGCUUGACCAGUGGCUACCAAGUGGAAGGCAAUCUACUACAAGU